rnacentral:rRNA from 1 species
CCUACGGGUGGCAGCAGUGGGGGAUAUUGCACAAUGGGGGAAACCCUGAUGCAGCGACGCCGCGUGGGUGAAGAAGGGCCUCGGCGCGUAAAGCCCUGUCAGCAGGGAAGAAAAUGACGGUACCUGAAGAAGAAGCCACGGCUAACUACGUGCCAGCAGCCGCGGUAAUACGUAGGGGGCAAGCGGUAUCCGGAUUUACUGGGUGUAAAGGGGAGGCAGCGGGGGGUGCAAGCAAGGGGUGAAAGCCCGGGGCCAAACCCCGGUACGGCUCUUGGAAGGUCGUGGCGAGAGGGCGGUGCGGCAGGCGGAAUGCCUGGUGUAGCGGUGAAAUGCGUAGAUAUCAGGAGGAACACCGGUGGCGAAGGCGGCCUGCUGGACUGCAACUGACGUUGAGGCCCGAAAGCGUGGGUAGCAAACAGGAUUAGAUACCCGUGUAGUC